AGGAAGUUAGUCUAAUCAAGACAGCUGGUUUCGGCCCAGCAGAUUAUAGAUUUCCCCUAUAACUUCCUC
rnacentral:tRNA from 1 species